GUACAGCGUGGCCAGGCCAGGUGUUGCCUUUUGCUACAAGGCCUUGGCGCGUAACGCCUGGCUGCGCUCCAGGGCUGCUCU
rnacentral:tRNA from 3 species